rnacentral:rRNA from 1 species
UCGAACGAGUUCUCGUUGAUGAUCGGUGCUUGCACCGAGAUUCAACAUGGAACGAGUGGCGGACGGGUGAGUAACACGUGGGUAACCUGCCCUUAAGUGGGGGAUAACAUUUGGAAACAGAUGCUAAUACCGCAUAGAUCCAAGAACCGCAUGGUUCUUGGCUGAAAGAUGGCGUAAGCUAUCGCUUUUGGAUGGACCCGCGGCGUAUUAGCUAGUUGGUGAGGUAAUGGCUCACCAAGGCGAUGAUACGUAGCCGAACUGAGAGGUUGAUCGGCCACAUUGGGACUGAGACACGGCCCAAACUCCUACGGGAGGCAGCAGUAGGGAAUCUUCCACAAUGGACGCAAGUCUGAUGGAGCAACGCCGCGUGAGUGAAGAAGGCUUUCGGGUCGUAAAACUCUGUUGUUGGAGAAGAAUGGUCGGCAGAGUAACUGUUGUCGGCGUGACGGUAUCCAACCAGAAAGCCACGGCUAACUACGUGCCAGCAGCCGCGGUAAUACGUAGGUGGCAAGCGUUAUCCGGAUUUAUUGGGCGUAAAGCGAGCGCAGGCGGUUUUUUAAGUCUGAUGUGAAAGCCCUCGGCUUAACCGAGGAAGCGCAUCGGAAACUGGGAAACUUGAGUGCAGAAGAGGACAGUGGAACUCCAUGUGUAGCGGUGAAAUGCGUAGAUAUAUGGAAGAACACCAGUGGCGAAGGCGGCUGUCUGGUCUGUAACUGACGCUGAGGCUCGAAAGCAUGGGUAGCGAACAGGAUUAGAUACCCUGGUAGUCCAUGCCGUAAACGAUGAAUGCUAGGUGUU